UACGAAGGGGGCUAGCGUUGUUCGGAUUUACUGGGCGUAAAGCGCACGUAGGCGGAUUGGUCAGUUAGGGGUGAAAUCCUGGAGCUCAACUCCAGAACUGCCUUUAAUACUGCCAGUCUCGAGUCCGGAAGAGGUAAGUGGAACUCCUAGUGUAGAGGUGGAAUUCGUAGAUAUUAGGAAGAACACCAGUGGCGAAGGCGGCUCACUGGACCGGUAUUGACGCUGAGGUGCGAAAGCGUGGGGAGCAAACAGG
rnacentral:rRNA from 1 species